rnacentral:rRNA from 1 species
UGAGUAACCUGCCCCAGACUCUGGAAUAACCCCGGGAAACCGGAGCUAAUACCGGAUACGAGACGAAGCUGCAUGGCUAUCGUCUGGAAAGUUUUUCGGUCUGGGAUGGACUCGCGGCCUAUCAGCUUGUUGGUGAGGUAAUGGCUCACCAAGGCGACGACGGGUAGCCGGCCUGAGAGGGCGACCGGCCACACUGGGACUGAGAUACGGCCCAGACUCCUACGGGAGCAG